rnacentral:tRNA from 44 species
GCGCCCGUAGCUCAGUUGGAUAGAGUAUCGGCCUCCGAAGCCGAGGGUCGCAGGUUCAAAUCCUGCCGGGCGCGCCA